rnacentral:lncRNA from 10 species
GGUAGGUAGUAAAUCUGAGAAAGAUAAUUUAGACUGAAAUAUUAGUGGCCUUUCAAGUUGCAAUACAGCUCAUUCCUUUGAUUCUAGUCUACCAGUUGCCACUUCUGGUCCAUUUGCAUAUAACACUGGAGAAGUGUUCCUUUAUCUUUGUGAAGCCCUUAACAUUCAAGGAGCCACUACUGCUUCUAUGCUGCUGAAAAAUACAAGACACUGCCUCUACCUCUGCAUCUGUCCUUUGCUUUUUGCUUGGAAACUAUCACAUCAAAUCACACUGAGAUCAGGUCAGAAAUCUGAUGUAUGUCUCACUGGACUACAAUCAAGGUGGCUACAGAGCUGCGUUUCUCUCUGGAGCCUCUAGGAGAAAAUCAGUUUCCUUAUCUUUUUCAGCCUCUAGAGGCCACCUGCAUUCCUGGACUUGUGGCCUCUUCCUCCAUCUUAAAGCCAGCAAGAGAGCAUCAUUCUGGGCCAGCUUCUCUCCUCACCGCUUUCACUGACCGCAGUCAAUAAAGGCUCUUUGAU